rnacentral:rRNA from 1 species
GGGUUGUGAGGUUAAGCGACUAAGCGUACACGGUGGAUGCCCUGGCAGUCAGAGGCGAUGAAGGGCGUGCUAAUCUGCGAUAAGCGCCGGUAAGGUGAUAUGAACCGUUAUAACCGGCGAUACCCGAAUGGGGAAACCCAGUGUGAUUCGUCACACUAUCAUUAACUGAAUCCAUAGGUUAAUGAGGCGAACCGGGGGAACUGAAACAUCUAAGUACCCCGAGGAAAAGAAAUCAACCGAGAUUCCCCCAGUAGCGGCGAGCGAACGGGGAGGAGCCCAGAGCCUGAAUCAGCAUGUGUGUUAGUGGAAGCGUCUGGAAAGGCGCGCGAUACAGGGUGACAGCCCCGUACACAAAAGCGUAUGUGCUGUGAGCUCGAUGAGUAGGGCGGGACACGUGGUAUCCUGUCUGAAUAUGGGGGGACCAUCCUCCAAGGCUAAAUACUCCUGACUGACCGAUAGUGAACCAGUACCGUGAGGGAAAGGCGAAAAGAACCCCGGCGAGGGGAGUGAAAAAGAACCUGAAACCGUGUACGUACAAGCAGUGGGAGCACCCUUUGGGGUGUGACUGCGUACCUUUUGUAUAAUGGGUCAGCGACUUAUAUUCUGUAGCAAGGUUAACCGAAUAGGGGAGCCGGAGGGAAACCGAGUCUUAAUUGGGCGUUAAGUUGCAGGGUAUAGACCCGAAACCCGGUGAUCUAGCCAUGGGCAGGUUGAAGGUUGGGUAACACUAACUGGAGGACCGAACCGACUAAUGUUGAAAAAUUAGCGGAUGACCUGUGGCUGGGGGUGAAAGGCCAAUCAAACCGGGAGAUAGCUGGUUCUCCCCGAAAGCUAUUUAGGUAGCGCCUCGUGAAUUCAUCUCCGGGGGUAGAGCACUGUUUCGGCUAGGGGGUCAUCCCGACUUACCAACCCGAUGCAAACUGCGAAUACCGGAGAAUGUUAUCACGGGAGACACACGGCGGGUGCUAACGUCCGUCGUGAAGAGGGAAACAACCCAGACCGCCAGCUAAGGUCCCAAAGUCAUGGUUAAGUGGGAAACGAUGUGGGAAGGCACAGACAGCCAGGAUGUUGGCUUAGAAGCAGCCAUCAUUUAAAGAAAGCGUAAUAGCUCACUGGUCGAGUCGGCCUGCGCGGAAGAUGUAACGGGGCUAAACCAUGCACCGAAGCUGCGGCAGCGAC